rnacentral:rRNA from 1 species
UACGUAGGGGGCAAGCGUUGUCCGGAAUCAUUGGGCGUAAAGCGCGUGUAGGCGGCCCGGUAAGUCCGCUGUGAAAGUCAGGGGCUCAACCCUCGAAUGCCGGUGGAUACUGUCGGGCUAGAGUGCGGAAGAGGCGAGUGGAAUUCCUGGUGUAGCGGUGAAAUGCGUAGAUAUCUGGAGGAACACCGGUGGCGAAGGCGGCAUCCUGGACCGAUACUGACGCUGAGGAGCGAAAGCCAGGGGAGCAAACGGG